rnacentral:rRNA from 1 species
CCUACGGGUGGCAGCAGUGGGGAAUAUUGGACAAUGGGCGAAAGCCUGAUCCAGCCAUGCCGCGUGUGUGAAGAAGGCCUUCGGGUUGUAAAGCACUUUCAGUGGGGAAGAAAGCCUUGGGGCUAAUACCCUCGAGGAAGGACAUCACCCACAGAAGAAGCACCGGCGAACUCCGUGCCAGCAGCCGCGGUAAUACGGAGGGUGCGAGCGUUAAUCGGAAUUACUGGGCGUAAAGCGCGCGUAGGCGGUCUGAUAAGCCGGUUGUGAAAGCCCCGGGCUCAACCUGGGAACGGCAUCCGGAACUGUCAGGCUAGAGUGCAGGAGAGGAAGGUAGAAUUCCCGGUGUAGCGGUGAAAUGCGUAGAGAUCGGGAGGAAUACCAGUGGCGAAGGCGGCCUUCUGGACUGACACUGACGCUGAGGUGCGAAAGCGUGGGUAGCAAACAGGAUUAGAUACCCUAGUAUC